rnacentral:lncRNA from 1 species
UAUUACAUUUUCCAAAGAUCGGGAAAUGAUCCAUACAGAAUCUGUGGGACCAAGGUUAAGUACUAGCUUCAGAAUCACGACAAUAUUCCCUAAUCUCACAAAAAAGGAAACCGAGCCAUUCCCAAGACCACCAAUCUCACCACUAAAACCAAAUCAAGAGAAAACUUCAUACCUCCAAUUUCCCAGACCAUAACAAAUCCAAACUCAAUUGCCUUUGAAACCAAUCACACCGUAACCUUUCCCAAUCCACCCACAUCGUAUC